rnacentral:pre_miRNA from 1 species
AGGGGGAGCGCCGGAUCUUGGGUUGUGUCCCUGGUGCCCUGUGCUCCAGGGCCUGCACUGUUAGAAUCGCUCUCGGCUGCGCCGCCCCCU